rnacentral:rRNA from 1 species
AUUGAACGCUGGCGGCAGGCUUAACACAUGCAAGUCGAACGAGUGGCGGACGGGUGAGUAAUGCUUGGGAAUCUAGCUGACGGAGGGGGAUAACUAGGGGAAACUGUAGAUAAUACUGCGAACCAUAGGAUGAGCCGAAGUGGGAGUAGGUAGUUGGUGAGGUAAAGGCUAACCAAGCCGACGAUCUCGAGCUGGUCCGAGAGGAUGACACGCCACACUGGGACGGAGCCACGGCCCAGACUCCUACGGGAGGCAGCAGUGGGGAAUAUUGCGCAAUGGGGGCAACCUGACGCAGCCAUGCCGCGUGAAUGAAGAAGGUCUUCGGGUUGUAAAGUUCUUUCGGUAGCGAGGCGUUAACUAAAGAGGAAGCACCGGCUAACUACGUGCCAGCAGCCGCGGUAAUUC